CAUCUACUCCCUUCGUCCGGAAAUACUUGUCAUCAAAAUAGAUAAAAAGAGAUGUAUCUAGUACUUAAAAGGAGAUAAGUACUAGAUAUAUCUCUUUUUAUCCAUUUUGAUGACAAGUAUUUUCGGACGGAGGAAGUACUAG
rfam:Triticum aestivum genome assembly, contig: Triticum_aestivum_CS42_TGACv1_scaffold_591837_7BS